rnacentral:rRNA from 1 species
AGUAGCGUAAUCCCUUGUCGGGUAAGUUCCGACCCGCAUGAAAGGCUUAACGACUGGAGAACUGUCUCCAGGAUCUGCUUGGUGAAAUCGCAAUAGAGGCGAGAAUGCCUCUUACCUGUGGCUAGACAAGAAGACCCCAGGAGCUUUACUAUAUCCUGGCAUUGAAUUUUGGUAAUAAUUGCGUAGCGUAGGAGGGAGACUUUGAAGCUAUCUUUUCGGGGAUAGUGGAGUCGCCAAUGAAACACCUCUCUUUUAAUAUCAGGGUUCUAACUUUACUGUCUGAGAAGGGUAGUAGAAGACAGUGCUUGGUUGGUAGUUUAAGUGGGGCGCUUUUCUCCUAAAAAGUAACGGAGAAGUUUAAAGGUUGGCUAGAUCCGGAUGGAAAUCGGAUUGGUCCUGUAAAGGGAUAAGCCAGCUUGACUGCAAGACGGGUAUGUCGCGCAGAUGCGAAAGCAGAACUUAGUGAACCGACCAUGGUUCGUAGGACCGUGGGAGAUCAUCAGACAAAAGUUACCCUGGGGAUAACAGGCUGGUAGUGCCCAAGAGUCCAUAUCAACGGCACUGUUCGGCACCUUAACAUAUCGGGGUGCAUUAACAGCAAUGUUAUUUAAGAAAUUGGCUUAUAACGGUGGACUCCAUAGUGAAAAUCAGCUAUAACAUAAUCAUUAUGGACAAUACCGUGGGAAGUCUAACACAAUUACAAAGAUCAUUGAUUAUAGGUUCGGUUUUAGGUGACGGGCAUAUUAGAAUUAUGCCUGGUCGCAAAGAUGCUUUUUUAGAAAUAAAUCAUUUCCUAAAAGCAAAAGAUUAUGUAGAUUGGAAAUAUUCUGUACUAAAGAAUAUUUGCGAUUCCGAACCUAAGGAAAGGGAAACCAAUGAAGGUAGAAUAGCUUAUUGUUUUUUUACUAAACAAGAUAAAGAAAUUACAGAAAUAUAUAAUCUCCUUUAUCAA